AGCGAACGCUGGCGGCAGGCCUAACACAUGCAAGUCGAACGGAUCCUUCGGGAUUAGUGGCGGACGGGUGAGUAACACGUGGGAACGUGUCCUUUGGUUCGGAACAACUCAGGGAAACUUGAGCUAAUACCGGAUGUGCCCUUCGGGGGAAAGAUUUAUCGCCAUUGGAGCGGCCCGCGUCUGAUUAGCUAGUUGGUGAGGUAACGGCCCACCAAGGCGACGAUCAGUAGCUGGUCUGAGAGGAUGAUCAGCCACACUGGGACUGAGACACGGCCCAGACUCCUACGGGAGGCAGCAGUGGGGAAUCUUGCGCAAUGGGCGAAAGCCUGACGCAGCCAUGCCGCGUGAAUGAUGAGGGUCUUAGGAUUGUAAAAUUCUUUCAGCGGGGACGAUAAUGACGGUACCCGCAGAAGAAGCUCCGGCUAACUUCGUG
rnacentral:rRNA from 1 species